rnacentral:rRNA from 1 species
GACGAACGCUGGCGGCGUGCUUAACACAUGCCAGUCGAACGGAAAGGCCCUGCUUUUGUGGGGUGCUCGAGUGGCGAACGGGUGAGUAACACGUGAGUAACCUGCCCUUGACUUUGGGAUAACUUCAGGAAACUGGGGCUAAUACCGGAUAGGAGCUCCUGCUGCAUGGUGGGGGUUGGAAAGUUUCGGCGGUUGGGGAUGGACUCGCGGCUUAUCAGCUUGUUGGUGGGGUAGUGGCUUACCAAGGCUUGGACGGGUAGCCGGCCUGAGAGGGUGGCCGGCCCCAUGGGGGGGGAGAUACGCCCGGCCCCCCCCCGGGGGGGAGGGGGGGGGAUGUUUGACGAAGGGGGGGGGGCUGACGGCGGCACCCCCGGGUGGGGAAGGCGGCCUGUCGGUUGUAAACCACUUUCCCCCGGGAAGGAAGGGAAAGGGCGGUUAUGGGGAAAAAAACCCCGGCUAACUUCGGC